GAUGAACGCUAGCUACAGGCUUAACACAUGCAAGUCGAGGGGAAACGGCAUCGCACGCUUGCUUUUGCUGGGCGUCGACCGGCGCACGGGUGAGUAACGCGUAUCCAACCUGCCCAUCACUUGGGAAUCACCUUGCGAAAGUAAGACUCAUGCCCAAUGACAUCCCCCGAAGGCAUUCGCAUGGGAUCACAGAUUUUUCGGUGAUGGAUGGGGAUGCGUCUGAUUAGCUUGUUGGCGGGGUGACGGCCCACCAAGGCAACGAUCAGUAUGGGUUCUGAGAGGAAGGUCCCCCACAUAAGAACUGAGGCACGGUCCAAACUGCUACGGGAGGCAGCGGUGAGGAAUACGAGGCAAGGGGCGAGAGCGUGAACCAGCCAAGUAGCGGGCAGGAGGACGGCGCUUGGGGAGGUAAACUGCUUUUAUAAGGGGGUAAAGUGGGUCACGUGUGACUUAUUGCAGGUACCUGAUGAAUAAGGACCGGCUAAGUCCGUG
rnacentral:rRNA from 1 species